rnacentral:rRNA from 1 species
UGGGGAAUAUUGCGCAAUGGAGGAAACUCUGACGCAGCAACGCCGCGUGAAUGAUGAAGGCCUUAGGGUUGUAAAGUUCUGUCUUCUGGGACGAUAAUGACGGUACCAGAGGAGGAAGCCACGGCUAACUACGUGCCAGCAGCCGCGGUAAUACGUAGGUGGCAAGCGUUGUCCGGAUUUACUGGGCGUAAAGGAUGCGUAGGCGGACAUUUAAGUCAGAUGUGAAAUACCCGAGCUCAACUUGGGUGCUGCAUUUGAAACUGGAUGUCUAGAGUGCAGGAGAGGUAAGUGGAAUUCCUAGUGUAGCGGUGAAAUGCGUAGAGAUUAGGAAGAACACCAGUGGCGAAGGCGACUUACUGGACUGUAACUGACGCUGAGGCAUGAAAGCGUGGGGAGCAAA